GUGGGGAAUCUUCCGCAAUGGACGAAAGUCUGACGGAGCAACGCCGCGUGAGUGAUGAAGGUCUUCGGAUUGUAAAGCUCUGUUAAUCGGGACGAAAGAGCCUAGUGUGAAUAAUGCUAGGAAGUGACGGUACCGGAAUAGAAAGCCACGGCUAACUACGUGCCAGCAGCCGCGGUAAUACGUAGGUGGCAAGCGUUGUCCGGAAUUAUUGGGCGUAAAGCGCGCGCAGGCGGAUCUGCCAGUCUGUCUUAAAAGUUCGGGGCUUAACCCCGUGAUGGGAUGGAAACUACAGAUCUAGAGUAUCGGAGAGGAAAGUGGAAUUCCUAGUGUAGCGGUGAAAUGCGUAGAUAUUAGGAAGAACACCGGUGGCGAAGGCGACUUUCUGGACGAAAACUGACGCUGAGGCGCGAAAGCCAGGGGAGCGAACGGGAUUAGAUACCCCGGUAGUCC
rnacentral:rRNA from 1 species